GUUUUGGGCGGUGCAUCGCCGCAGCUCCAGGAGGAUCAGGUUGGUGUUCCUGCUGUUGUUUUUCUUUGGUGCCGAGGCUAAUGUCUGCCAAACCCAGCCUCCUGAUUGUCCUCAGCGCUGCUGCUGAAGGUGUAUCUGCACAAUCGUUUUAUCACUCCUAUACACUAUGUAGCACAGCUUUUAACCUGCAGAUUGCUACUCCAGGGGGGAAGCCGGCGGAUUUUGUGGGGCUGGAUGAGAACAAUAUACGCUGGAUCCAGGACUUCCGUAUGAAACCAUAUGCGAACCCGGCCAAGUUGGAAUCAAUUGAUGGUACUAGGUACAAUGCUAUCCUGAUUCCUAACUGUCCUGGUGCUAUGGUAGAUCUUGCAACCAAUGGAUACCUGGCCAAGAUUCUCCAGCAUGUCUGUGCUGAGAAAAAACCAAUUUGUGUGGUGGGACACGGAGCUGCUGCGUUGUGCUGUGCUACAAACCAGGACAAGUCGUGGAUAUUCCAGGGAUACAGUGUCACUGGACCCUCUGUCUUUGAGCUGGUGAGGAGGAAAGAUUUUGCAAGCCUUCCAGUCAUUAUGGAGGAUUUUGUGAAAGACUCUGGAGCCACCUUCAGUGGAAAUAAUUGCAUUUUAUUUCAUGAUCUUAUUCGGACUCAGCAUAUCGUUAACUGGAACCACUCACAAUCUCAACUCCCACGUCCAACAGUAAAAGCAGGAAAUCAACAAACCGUGUCAAGCAAAAGCUGAUCCUGAAGAAUACUUCAGGGACGUUGAAGAGGCUGGAGAAACAUUUCAUUUUCAAACGCAUGUUUUUGCACACACAAGAUUGUGAACCUAUUUUGAGGUUUGAUCCCCAAACAAGGUGGUUCUAAGAAUAUUACACCUGGCCCUACACCAGAUGUGACUUGGAGGGUUUGCAUCCUAAUCUCUAGUCGAGAAUCAUUAUUGAGGUCUGGGAAUGGGAAGCACAGCAGCAAUGUAUUGGACUGUCACUAACAAAGAACAUCUCAGAAGAAAUGACUAUAAUAUGGAUUCCAUUUGUUCCCAACCUACCCAACAACUUUAAAUCUUCCCCUUUGAGCCUCAGCAGUAAUGACUACAUUAUUCACCUAUGCCAUUAUGUGGGUGAGUUACCUCUUUCAAACACAACCGGUCUAACUCAUCCAGCAUUGUCACCUAAGUAGUUGACACAAUAAAUUUACAAAACAGGUUAACUUGCUUACAGAGC